rnacentral:rRNA from 1 species
AGCAGCCGCGGUAAUUCCAGCUCCAAUAGCGUAUAUUAAAGUUGUUGCAGUUAAAAAGCUCGUAGUUGAAUUUCGGGGUCAGCAGGUUGGUCGUGCCUAUGGUAUGAACUGGCUUCGCUGGUCUCUCCUUUCUGAAGAACUGUAAUGCCAUUAAUUUGGUGUUGCAGGGACACAGGACUGUUACUUUGAAAAAUUAGAGUGUUUAAAGCAGGCUAACGCUUGAAUACAUUAGCAUGGAAUAAUGAAAUAGGACGUUCGAACCUAUUUUGUUGGUUUCUAGGAUUGACGUAAUGAUUAAUAGGGAUAGUUGGGGGCAUUAGUAUUCAAUUGUCAGAGGUGAAAUUCUUGGAUUUAUUGAAGACUGACUACUGCGAAAGCAUUUGCCAAGGAUGUUUUCAUUAAUCAAGAACGAAAGUUAGGGGAUCGAAGACGAUCAGAUACCGUCGUAGUCUUAACCAUAAACUAUGCCGACUAGGGAUCGGAUGAUGUUAAUUUUAAUGA